AUUGAACGCUGGCGGCAGGCCUAACACAUGCAAGUCGAACGAGUGGCGGACGGGUGAGUAAUGUCUGGGAAACUGCCUGAUGGAGGGGGAAAACUACGGGAAACGGUAGCUAAUACCGCAUACCAUCGGAUGUGCCCAGAUGGGAUUAGCUAGUAGGUGGGGUAAAGGCUCACCUGGGCGACGAUCCCUAGCUGGUCUGAGAGGAUGACACGCAACACUGGAACGAGGACACGGUCCAGAUUCCUACGGGAGGCAGCAGUGGGAAAUAUUGCACAUUGGGCGCAAGCCUGAUGCAGACAUGCGGGGUGUAUGAAGAGGUCCUUCGGGUUGUAAAGUACUUUCAGCGGGGAGGCGUUACCCGCAGAGGAAGCACCGGCUAACUCCGUGCCAGCAGCCGCGGUAAUUC
rnacentral:rRNA from 1 species